rnacentral:rRNA from 1 species
UACAGAGGUCUCAAGCGUUGUUCGGAUUCAUUGGGCGUAAAGGGUGCGUAGGCGGCGCGGUAAGUCGGGUGUGAAAUCUCGGAGCUUAACUCCGAACUGCAUUCGAUACUGCCGUGCUUGAGGACUGGAGAGGAGACUGGAAUUACGGUGUAGCGGUGAAAUGCGUAGAGUAUCGAUGAGGAAGACCAGUGGCGAAGGCGGGUCUCUGGACAGUUCCUGA